rnacentral:pre_miRNA from 1 species
UUUUUAGUAUAAGUAUGUCCCAUGCAAUAUUUGGGACAUGUAUGUACUAAGA